GUUAUGUUUUUGUGAAAUGAAUGGGUAUAUUCUUGAUUGAAUGAGUGAAUGACUAAUUGAUUGUCAUUAAAUGAUUGAAUGAAUAAUUAAUUGACUUAUAGUUGAUUAUCAUGAUAAAUGAAUGUACUUAAAUCAAAGGGGAAGAAAUUAAGAUAGAAAAUUUUAUUAACCCAUUUUGAUUAUGACAAAAAGAUGGAGAAAUUAGAAGAAAUUGGGAGAAGUUAAGAGAGUAUAGUAGAAAUCAAGAGCAAAUUUAAAAAUAUUGCUUUUCUACAUA
rnacentral:lncRNA from 1 species